UAGCCGGUUGUGGUGGCACACACCUGUAAUCCCAGCUACUCGGGAGGCUGAGGCAGGAGAAUCGCUUGAACCCAGCAAGCAGAGAUUGCAAGGAGCUGCAAUGACACCACUGCACUC